AACGCCACUGUUUUCCUUGUACUUGUGGUUGGCUUGGCCUGUGGCCAGGAAGUAUUUAGGACUGGCACAUAAAUGGCACGAUGGAAAAGGAAGCCGGACCAGAGCAUGUGACAUUGACAGCACGACCAAGAGACACCUAUCUUGAGUUUGAACUGGAAGCUACACCCUUCACCCUUCACUUCACAAUGAUGAGGAAAAUGGACGGCACUGUGAACUUCUACAGACCCUGGGACCAGUACAAAAAUGGUUCUGGAGAGGUGAGUGAGAGGCUGGGUGAGACUUCUGGAGAGUCCUGGCUGGGUGAGAGUUUACUUCAUAGAAACAUGCUAUGUCUGGAGAGUCCUGGCUAGGUGAGAGUUUACUUCAUAGAAACAUGCUAUGUCUGGAGAGUCUUGGCUGGGUGAGAGUUUACUUCAUAGAAACAUGCUAUGUCUGGAGAGUCCUGGCUGGGUGAGAGUUUACUUCAUAGAAACAUGCUAUGUCUGGAGAGUCCUGGCUGGGUGAGAGUUUACUUCAUAGAAACAUGCUAUGUCUGGAGAGUCCUGGCUGGGUGAGAGUUUACUUCAUAGAAACAUGCUAUGUCUGGAGAGUCCUGGCUGGGUGAGAGUUUACUUCAUAGAAACAUGCUAUGUCUGGAGAGUCCUGGCUGGGUGAGAGUUUACUUCAGGACUGGAGAACAUCCACCUCUUUACUAAGAAGGAAGAAGGGUGGACAUGGAUGACUUUGAGGAAAACAGAGAGACUCAGAGGCUGACGGCUACAAGAUGCACGUCACUGGCUUCCAAAAAUGGAAGUGCAGGGACUCACUGAAGCUUCUUAACCGGGUAGAAAUGAACCGCCUUCGACAAAGACAAUGACGCUCCGCCUCAGAAUUUUGCAAGUAGAUAAUAUGCUGCAUUUUGGUAUAUGACUUGUCACAAUGCAAACAUCAACAGAUUGUACUUAUGGGGAAAGACACAAUAUGUUACUACUGGUGUUAACUGGGCUACGUGGAAAAGUUAUUUUACUGGAUUUUUCUUGGCCAUCUCUAUGAAGAUCAGACCAGUGUCAGACCACUGAAGAGAAGCCAGCCAGCAGGGUCUCCCAAUGUCUGUUGCAGGGGCUUAGACCCGCUACUCUGACAUUACAGUAUCUCAUUCAUCAUCCAAUCAUUGCCACCUGUAUCAGAUGAGACGUGGGAUAUCUGUUUUAUAAAUGUUACGUGUGCUUCUGACCUGACAACUUUAACUUGAUCUACAAACAUUGUGUUGAUGACGAGCGGGACCCUGCCUUCUGGCGAUGCAGCUAAAUGUUUAAGGGUUAUCACAUGUAUCCUUAUUGUCCUCUUGUUGUGUAAUGCAACCGUAUGCAACCACAUGCAGUCAUUACAGUGCGCACAUUCCAUACAGAUUUUCAGUACCUUUCAUAAUGACUAGGUUGCAGUACCUUUCAUAAUGACUAGGUUGCAGUACCUUUCAUAAUGACUAGGUUGCAGUACCUUUCAUAAUGACUAGGUUGCAGUACCUUUCAUAAUGACUAGGUUGCAGUACCUUUCAUUAAUGACAAGGUUGUAGUACCUUUCAUAAUGACUAGGUUGCAGUACCUUUCAUAAUGACUAGGUUGCAGACUGCACUCUCCUAUCUGAAACAAUCAUGUCUAGCAUCUUACUUUUUGAUGAAGGGGCCUGCUUCGUGUUAAGGAGAGGCAAUAGUUAGUGGAGUAGUCUCUCAAAUGUAGGUCCUUUGGCAGUUAUCAUUGCCAGACCGAAUGCCUCGAAUAGCAUGUCAUUAGCUACUUUGACCCUGCAUGACACAAUAAUUGCAGCACUAAAGGAAGGCAAUGGAAAGGAUCUGAAUGUCAUGCGUAGCGUGAAGUCCCUGGGCAGAAUGAAGGUAUGUUUACAUUUGCUGACUAAAAUGAGGACUGUUGUUUAUGGACUAUCCAGUAUGAAUGUAUUUGUUUUACUUUUUGACCACGAGCAAAAUACACCCAAUAAAUAAAAUGUAUG